rnacentral:rRNA from 1 species
AUGGAUGAGCUGCUGUCAGGGGUGGCUGAAACCAUCAAGAACUUUGCCAUGAUCUACCUUGUAGGCAUCACCAAGGUUCCUGACUUCAACCCCAUGUACGAGUUGUACGACCUGUCAAUGGUGAUGUUCCUCUUCUGCAACAAGCACAUCAUGAUUGAUCUUGGUACAGGAAACAACAACAAGAUCAACUAG